UCACCUGGCGGCGGUAUUAGUCAUUUUGAGGUAAACUUUGGUUUGCUUCGCUGAAAUCGUCCACAAGUGUUUCACUUUCUUUAGGGCGCCCCGUUGGGAGAGUCACCUAGCACACGCACGCACCACAUCAAAGAGUUGGCCAAAUUUCAGUGACAAAUCUUCACGUUUACUCAACACUUCGUCACUCUUCUUCGAGCCGAGACGUAUCGUGGGGGUUGAAACUUUUUCAGUAGAAUCGAUUUUGGUUUUCUUUUUUGUUAGCCCAAUUCUAUCUUGGCCUUAGCAACACUAGCUCUCUCUUACCACCUUUCGAUCGCCAGUAAUAAAGAAUUCUUUAAUUUUGCAAGAGGCUUUCUCAAUCGAUUUUAAAACUGAUCUAUGCUAGGCCAUCUUUUUUCAAAAGUAACUUGGAACCAUUCGUUUCAUCGCAUAUCUUCUCAUCUCGCCCUUUAAAUCGUGAUUAAUUGCUGCUGAAAAACAAAUCGAAAGAAAUCUUUUAAAAUCUACCUGCUCUAAUCAAAAAGUUUUUAUGUCGACAGUGUGAAAUCUCAAAAGUGAAACAAGGAUAGAGACGAUGGAACACGUAAUGGAUUUAGCUUCGGAAAUUUCGGAAAGUUCUUCGUUGGUGUCGGAGGAUAUGCGAACUCUAGACGGUAGCGUCGACGGUGAACCCCGCGCCGAUGGACUGUACGAAGAACGCUUUCGUGUUGAUCGACGCAAAUUGGAAUCAAUGCUUUUAGUACCUGCUGAGGGUGGAAGUGAAGCAGCUGCUGAACGUUUUUCCUCAGGGUUAUGCAAGAAACAAGCACUGUAAUUAUGUGGCCAGAGGAAAUUGAAAGUUGGUUCCAAAUCAAAACGAGAUCCGCAUGUGCGUGUGGCUGGAGAGCCUGAAUCAGUUCGCGCUGCUAAAGAACGCAUUAUGGCCGUGCUUGAUACAAGGCAAAGCAAUGGAGUGACUCUAAAAAUGGAAGUGAGCUAUACUGACCAUUCUCAUAUUAUUGGACGUGGAGGUAACACCCUUAGCCGCGUCAUGGAGGAGACACGUUGUCAUGUCCAUUUCCUGAUUCGAAUCGCACCAAUCAAACGGAAAAGAGCAACUUGGUUACUGUCGCUGGAGAACUGGCUGGCGUUGAGAAAGCUAGGGCUCGCGUCCGGGAUUUGAUGCCGUUGGUGGUGAUGUUCGAAUUUACCCAUCACAGGUUGCUUUCAGGCUUUUCCUGAUGUGGAAUCGCCAUUUAUCCAAAACUUACAGUCGCGUUACUGUGUACAAGUUUCCUUUCGUGCCCGUUCCC